UCGAUGGUAUUUUAAUUUUGAACUGUAUUUUCAAUGUUUUGAGCUAUAUUCCUCUCCCAGAACCUUGUAUACGAAAUCCUCCAAGCCACAUUGAAAGAAUGUGCUCUUUUUAUACCUCAGUAUUCUAACCAUAUUCCUGGACUAUGAUGGGCUCCCAUCACAUAAUCACUGUUCCAGUUUGGAAAUUUAACAACUGGUUUACUUUUCCCCUUGGGCUAUAGUCAUGCACAGCACUUUUGCCUGGCUCUCACCCCAUCGUAUUAUUUAUUAUAUACCUAGGCAUCUUUCAUCUCAACUUUCUAUGUAAGUGUCUUUUAAGGUGUAGAAUAUUCAUUCAAAAAUAUUUAUUUCUGAUCAUGUUGUAGUAACUAGUACCAGACUUACCUUCCCACCAGAAAUAACUAGGAGAUGGGACAAAAUAUGUGAACAGCCAUUUCAGAUAUUGGACAACAGGUAGCACAGGAGAAUUAUCCAGAAGAGAAAGGAAAUAAAGCGUAUUCCUGAACCUGGCACAAAGAGAAGGAACUCAAGGAAAGCAUUAUCAAUGAUUUGAGAAAACAGAGUUUAUAGCUUAGGGAGGCUAAGGAGGCUAGAAUUUGUGGGAAAGUGUAUUAGAGAAGAAGGAGCUAAUCGGAAAGCUCCAGAAGUCUGCACAGGAGUCCCCUUGAGUCUAUUGCUAAGGACUAAAUGGCCAUAUAUAGAAACUCUACAAAGCAACUACUAGAGACCUAUAAACAGAAUAUUUUCCAGAAAUUAUAUAGGAAUGGGAGGUGUCAAGUACCAUUUAGCCAGACACAUUGUUGAACCUCUGGAGCAUUCUAUAGAGAUCCCUGCAGGAUCACAACUUAGUAGAAAAGAUAAACUUGCCAUAUAGUAAAGGCUUCUCUAUACCCACCCUAACGAAUCUCAAAAAGUCCUUUAAAGGGAUCGAGCUAAUCCACAUUAAUUUUACUGCAUGGGAAAACAAAGAGUAAAACCUUUUGAAAAAACACAAAAUUAAGACAUUCAGCAAUGUAACAUUUGCAAUGCUCAGCUCUAAUUAAAGAUCACUAGACAUGCAAAGAAUCAAGAAAAUGUGAUCUAUAAUCAAAAGGAAAAAGUCAAAAUAGACACAGAAAAACAGGGGUGAUGGAAUUAGCAUAAAGGGACUUUAAAAGAGCCAUUAUAAAUAUGCUCAGUGACUUAAAAAAAAUGAGAAAAAUGGAAGAUAUAUAAAAGAACCAAAUUAGAGGUCUAAGAAAUGAAAAAUCCAAUAUCCGAAUGAAAAAUUCACUGGAUGGACCUAACCAGCAGAGUGUACAUUACAGAAGAAAGGAUAAGUGAACUCAAAGACAUAUUAAUAGUAAUAAAGGUAAUCUAAAUUGAAGCACAGAGGAAAAAAUACACAGAGCUUCUGUGACCUGUGGAACAAAUGGUCUGCCAUAUGUGUAAUUGAAGUCCAAAAAGACGAGGAGAGAGAGGAAGAGAGACACACAAAAUAUUUGAAUAAAUAAUGGCUGAAAAUCUUUCAAAUUUGAUGCAAACUAUAAACACAUAAAUCUAAGAAUUUCAAUGAAACUCAGGCAGGAUAAGCAUAAUGUAAACUACAUUAAAACACAUUGUAAUCAAAUUCCUGCAAAUCAGUUAGAAACUCUUAAAAGAAUCCCAAGGGGGAAAGACACAUAUUACAUACAGGGGAACAAAGAUUGAUUGCUUACUUCUUGUCAAAAAUAAUGCAAGGCAGAAGAAAAUGAAAUGAAAGCAUUAAAGUACUUGAAAAAUAAACUGUCAACAUGGAGUUCUAUAUCCUUCAAAUAAAAAGAGAAAGAGUUUUUUAGGAAAACAAAAGUUGAUAGAAUUUAUUACCAGAAAACUCACACUGUAAGAAAUCUUGGCUCUUUCCCUGCCGCCACCAAGUCGUGCAGAGGCAGAGGCUUGGGUUCACCUGUAACCCACCUCCAUGGCCAAGGAUGGCAUUGCUGCUGGAGGUGUAAUGGACGUUAAUACUGCUUUACAAGAGGUGCUGAAGACCGCCCUCAUCCACGAUAGCCUUGCACGUGAAAUUCGCCAAGCUGCCAAAGCCUUAGACAAGCACCAAGCCCAUCUUUGUGUGCUUGCAUCCAACUGUUAUGAACCCAUGUAUGUCAAGUUGGUGGAGGCCCUUUGUGCUGAACAUCCAAUCAACCUAAUUAAGGUUGAUGACAAGAAACUAGGGGAAUGGGUAGGCCUUUGUAAAAUUGACAGAGAAGGGAAACCCCGUAAGGUGGUUAGUUGCAGUUGUGUAGUAGUUAAGGACUAUGGCAAAGAAUCUCAAGCCAAGGAUGUCAUCGAAGAGUACUUCAAAUGCAAGAAGUGAACAAAUAAAAACUUUGGCUCAUG